rnacentral:rRNA from 1 species
UACGUAGGGUGCGAGCGUUAAUCGGAAUUACUGGGCGUAAAGCGUGCGCAGGCGGUGAUGUAAGACAGGUGUGAAAUCCCCGGGCUUAACCUGGGAACUGCAUUUGUGACUGCAUGGCUGGAGUGCGGCAGAGGGGGAUGGAAUUCCGCGUGUAGCAGUGAAAUGCGUAGAUAUGCGGAGGAACACCGAUGGCGAGGGCAAUCCCCUGGGCCUGCACUGACGCUCAUGCACGAAAGCGUGGGGAGCAAACAGG